UACGUAGGGGGCAAGCGUUGUCCGGAAUUAUUGGGCGUAAAGAGCUCGUAGGCGGUUUGUUGCGUCGGCUGUGAAAUCCCGAGGCUCAACCUCGGGUCUGCAGUCGAUACGAGCAAACUAGAGUGUUGCAGGGGAGACUGGAAUUCCUGGUGUAGCGGUGAAAUGCGCAGAUAUCAGGAGGAACACCGGUGGCGAAGGCGGAUCUCUGGACCAGUUCUGACACUGAUGAGCGAAAGCCAGGGGAGCAAACAGG
rnacentral:rRNA from 1 species